rnacentral:rRNA from 1 species
AGCGAACGCUGGCGGCAGGCCUAACACAUGCAAGUCGAACGAACUCUUCGGAGUUAGUGGCGGACGGGUGAGUAACACGUGGGAACGUGCCUUUUGGUUCGGAAUAACUCAGGGAAACUUGUGCUAAUACCGAAUGUGCCCUUCGGGGGGAAGAUUUAUCGCCCUUCGAGCGGCCCUCGUCUGAUUAGCUAGUUGGUGAGGUAACGGCUCACCAAGGCGACGAUCAGUAGCUGGGUUGAGAGGAUGACCAGCCACACUGGGACUGAGACACGGCCCAGACUCCUACGGGAUGCAGGAGUGGGGGAUCGUGCGAAAUGGGCGAAAGCCUGACGCAGCCAUGCCGCGUGAAUGCUGAAGGUCUUAGGAUUGUAAAAUUCUUUCAACGGGGACGAUAAUGACGGUACCCGGAGAAGAAGCCACGGCUAACUUCGUG